rnacentral:rRNA from 1 species
AAUGGUAGGAGAGCGUUCUAAGGGCGUUGAAGCAUGAUCGCAAGGACAUGUGGAGCGCUUAGAAGUGAGAAUGCCGGUGUGAGUAGCGAAAGACGGGUGAGAAUCCCGUCCACCGAUUGACUAAGGUUUCCAGAGGAAGGCUCGUCCGCUCUGGGUUAGUCGGGUCCUAAGCUGAGGCCGAUAGGCGUAGGCGAUGGAUAACAGGUUGAUAUUCCUGUACCACCAUUAUUCGUUUUAAGCGAUGGGGGGACGCAGUAGGAUAGGCGAAGCGUACGAUUGGAUUGUACGUCCAAGCAGUGAGAUUGAGUGUUAGGCAAAUCCGGCACUCUUAAGAUUGAGCUGUGAUGGGGAGAGGAAAUUGUUUCCUCGAGUCGUUGAUUUCACACUGCCAAGAAAAGCCUCUAGCUAGAAUUGUGGUGCCCGUACCGCAAACCGACACAGGUAGUCAAGAUGAGAAUUCUAAGGUGAGCGAGCGAACUCUCGUUAAGGAACUCGGCAAAAUGACCCCGUAACUUCGGGAGAAGGGGUGCUCUUUAGGGUUAACGCCCAGGAGAGCCGCAGUGAAUAGGCCCAAGCGACUGUUUAUCAAAAACACAGGUCUCUGCUAAACCGUAAGGUGAUGUAUAGGGGCUGACGCCUGCCCGGUGCUGGAAGGUUAAGAGGAGUGGUUAGCUUCUGCGAAGCUACGAAUCGAAGCCCCAGUAAACGGCGGCCGUAACUAUAACGGUCCUAAGGUAGCGAAAUUCCUUGUCGGGUAAGUUCCGACCCGCACGAAAGGCGUAACGAUUUGGGA